GGUCCUAUAACUCAGUUGGUUAGAGUGUAGUGCUAAUAACGCUAAAGUCGAGGGUUCGACCCCCUCUGGGACCA